UAACAGUGGUGCUACCGUUUCACGUAUGGU
rnacentral:piRNA from 1 species